rnacentral:rRNA from 1 species
UACGGGGGGAGCAAGCGUUGUUCGGAUUUACUGGGCGUAAAGGGCGCGUAGGCGGUCGUGACAAGUCACUUGUGAAAUCUCCGGGCUUAACUCGGAACGGUCAAGUGAUACUGUCGGACUAGAGUACAGAAGGGGCAACUGGAAUUCUCGGUGUAGCGGUGAAAUGCGUAGAUAUCGAGAGGAACACCUGCGGCGAAGGCGGGUUGCUGGGCUGAUACUGACGCUGAUGCGCGAAAGCUAGGGGAGCGAACGGG